UCCAUAAUGUGACGCCCACCCCAGCCAAACCUCUGCCUGUCAUUCUACCAAAUCUCUCUGCUUCCAGUGUCACUGCCUUAAUGUUCUUCGCAUUUAAAAUGUCUACAUGUUCAUCAUACAAUUGGGUCAUUGUGACCCACCCGUUCAGGGGCUCAUUCAGAGCCUGGGCAACAGGGGCUAAUUUGUGCUGGGGAGGGGCUGCUGGGCUCUAGGUAUGAGGGGAAAAUGACCUGCAUCACAUUCCAUCUGCUGGUGUCUUGGGUUUCUUUGGCACUGCAACCUCUGUCUCUGGAGCCUAUUGGGCAACAUUAUGCCAGGUCUUCGCUGGAAACGUGAUUGCCCGCUAUUCACAUUACUAUGCCAGGUCUUCGCUGGAAACGUGAUUGCCCACUAUUCACAUUACUAUGCCAGGUCUUCGCUGGAAACGUGAUUGCCCACUAUUCACAUUACUAUGCCAGGUCUUUGCUGGAAACGUGAUUGCCCGCUAUUCACAUUACUAUGCCCACACACAAAGUUCUUCACCGAUUCUGUCUCUUCGAUUGACACUCUUCCAAUUCGACAUACAUAAUAAUGGGGUCUGUCUCUUGCCAGCACUGUGCCUUCGUCGCUGUGCCAUCUCAUCCAACUUUGGUCGUCACGCCAAUUUGUAUAUGAUACACAACAGGCAAAGUCGCAGACAGGAUACGUCUUGUUUGCUACUCUCUCCCGCCCGGCCAUGCCACUGUUGUUCUGGAUGGGUGCCAGAAAGAGCGGCGA